rnacentral:rRNA from 1 species
UACGAGGGGGGCGAGCGUUGUUCGGAAUCACUGGGCGUAAAGGGCGCGUAGGCGGCUCAUGAAGGCUGUGGUGAAAGUCCGGGGCUCAACCUCGGAUCGGCCGUGGCGACUCGUGGGCUGGAGCACUGUAGAGGCGGGUGGAAUUCCGGGUGUAGCGGUGGAAUGCGUAGAGAUCCGGAAGAACACCGGUGGCGAAGGCGGCCCGCUGGGCAACUGCUGACACUGAUGCGCGACAGCGUGGGGAGCAAACAGG